GCCCUGCCACAUCCGACAAGCGUCAGAGCCGGUGUAGUAGGAUUCAAUCUUAAUCCUGUAUUGACGCUUUGCUUGUUUGAUGGUUCGUCUGAGGGAGUAGCGUAAUUCCAUAUAGGCGCCCAGAUUAGUGUCCCCCUCAGGCGAGCAAUACCUCGAGCCUUCUUAAAUAUUAGACAUCGCGCACCAGCUGUUAUUGACAAAAAGACACACACUCCCACCCCUCGUCUUACCAGACAUAGCUUAUCUGUUCUGCCGGUCCAUUGAGAAUCCCUCCAGCUCUAUGAAACAUAAGAUAUUACAGUUCUUAAUGUCAUUUUCGUAGGAUAAUUGUAGGUCAUCAAUUUUAUUUUCCAAUGAUUGCAUGUUAGCAAGUAGAAUUGAUGGCAGUGGGAGUUUACCCGCUCGCCUACUGAUUCUGAAAAGGAAGCCCGAUCUGCGUCCUCUUCACGUAAAUGAUGGGGAUCUGGGCCUGUUCCCGGGAGAGCAGUAUAUCCUUCUCGUCGCACUCGUUAAAGGAAAAAGCUUCUUCCAGUUCGUGGACACUGUAAGAUCAACCCAGCAGUGAAUUCGGUGUUGUCUGCACAAAAGCCCUGCAGGGAUGAGACUCCUCUGAAGUGACUGCAGCAACAGCAACAUCAGCAGCAGGAAGAGGGGAAAGCUCAGAAGCAGAGCAUGUAUUGCAAGGACCUGUUGCUCAGUGUCGCCUCCGAGUUCUGCUUUUAGGAACUGAGGGCAGAAAGCUACCACCAGAAGAAGGCCUUGGAGUCAGGGGGCAGUGUCAAGGAAGAGCAAGGUGGCUCUGGUCUUCCAAACUGACACCUUUCCACCUGGACAUUGACAUGACAUUUCCAUGUUCAGAUUGUUUUGUAUAUAGAAGGUAGCAGACUGUCAGUAUCAUCAGUUAUGUCUUUGUUGUCUUUCGUCAUGUAUGUAUUUUACUGUUUGUGAUGUGUAUAUAUAAACUGCAGUUGGUACGACAUAGGUCUCACCAGUCAUAGCCAUAGAUCACUAUCUAGGCUCUGGGCCACACAGUAUCCCAGAGGGAAAAAUCAUCUAAUGUAAUUGGAUUGAAAAGAGUUGUGUGAGAAAAUGGUGCUAUGAUUUGAGAACUGAAAUACUGGUGGUUGUUGUUACUGCAUAUCCUUGGAUAUUCUGCAAUAAUUGGCAGUUGAGACUGUUCUGUAAUUUUUUUUUUUUCAUGGCAAUUCACUAUAAAACUGUAUUCUACAUUUUACAUUCAUUCCACUAAUCCAUUAUGUUUGGAAAAGGGCUUUAGAUAACAUGCCAUGUUCCGUCUGGUUCCUCUCUCCAUUAUUUCUUUGUCUUCUUCACGUUACCUCUUAGGAAUUAAACUUUCAGUACACCACGUGGUGAAGGCAGGGUGUACCAGGGUGUACUUGUCCAUGACAAGGCUCAAUUCACAUUAUAGCUGUCACUGCUGUAUAUAUUGGUAAAAAUGUCCCCCCAAGGCCAUGUGGUGAUAGUGUUAAAUAAAUGUGAAAUAAUG